rnacentral:snoRNA from 1 species
UACCAAACCUUUUUGUCAGGGUGCUUCUCUAUCCGUUUUAGGAUAAACUUAUCUACAGAAGUGUCUGUUACUGUUUUGGAAGAGUAAUACUGUUCGCUUAUCCAUAUUUCCCCGUUCUGGGGAAGCCUAAUGGGUAAAUUAGAAGGAUAACCUUUGUUUUAAAGGUAUACCUUCGCUUUUUAGAACAGUGAGGAUCUUAUGAGUUGAGCUUUUGUUACUUGAGACUUUAUCUCGGGCUCCAUACAAUAUGUUCGUAGUAAAGAUCCUCACAAUU